rnacentral:rRNA from 1 species
UACGUAGGGCGCAAGCGUUAUCCGGAAUUAUUGGGCGUAAAGAGCUCGUAGGCGGUUUGUCGCGUCUGCCGUGAAAGUCCGGGGCUCAACUCCGGAUCUGCGGUGGGUACGGGCAGACUAGAGUGAUGUAGGGGAGACUGGAAUUCCUGGUGUAGCGGUGAAAUGCGCAGAUAUCGAGAGGAACACCUGCGGCGAAGGCGGGUUGCUGGGCCGACACUGACGCUGAUGCGCGAAAGCCAGGGGAGCGAACGGG